rnacentral:rRNA from 1 species
GCGCAGCAGGCGCGAAACCUCCGCAAUGCUCGAAAGAGCGACGGGGGGACUCCAAGUGCCUACGCUCAGCGUAGGCUGUUCCCGAGCCUAAAAAGCUCGGGGAGUAAGGGCUGGGUAAGACGGGUGCCAGCCGCCGCGGUAAUACCCGCAGCCCGAGUGGUGGCCGCUAUUAUUGGGCCUAAAGCGUCCGUAGCCGGCUCGGUAAAUGCCUGGGUAAAUCGUCUGGCCCAACCAGACGAAUUCCGGGUAGACUGCCGGGCUAGGGACCGGAGGAGGGAGAGGGUACUCCAGGGGUAGGGGUGAAAUCAGCAAGGUGAGUUGCUGAUGUAACUUGCCUUGCAAGUCACAAUCCUGUAAUCCCUGGAGGACCACCGGUGGCGAAGGCGCUCUCCUAGGACGGGUCCGACGGUGAGGGGACGAAAGCCAGGGGAGCAAACCGGAUUAGAUACCCGGGUAGU